rnacentral:rRNA from 1 species
AAUGAACGUUGGCGGCGUGGAUUAGGCAUGCAAGUCGAGCGGGCGUAGCAAUACGUCAGCGGCGCAAGGGAGAGUAACGCGUGGAUACGUGCCCCCAGGUCUGGGAUAGCUGCGGGAAACUGCAGGUAAUACCGGAUAAUGUCUUCGGACCAAAGGUGUAAUUCCUCCUGGGGAUCGGUCCGCGUCCUAUCAGCUAGUUGGUGGGGUAACGGCCUACCAAGGCAACGACGGGUACGGGGUGUGAGAGCAUGCCCCCGCUCACUGGGACUGAGACACUGCCCAGACACCUACGGGUGGCUGCAGUCGGGGAUCUUCGGCAAUGGGCGCAAGCCUGACCGAGCGACGCCGCGUGGGAUGAAGGCCUUCGGGUUGUAAACCACUGUCGUAGAGGAGGAAAUGCAUGGGGGUUCUCCCCUGUGUUUGACCUAUUCUAGGAGGAAGUACGGGCUAAGUUCGUGCCAGCCGCCGCAGUAA